rnacentral:rRNA from 1 species
GAUGAACGCUGGCGGCGUGCCUAAUACAUGCGAGUCGAGCGAACAGACGAGGAGCUUGCUCCUCUGACGUUAGCGGCGGACGGGUGAGUAACACGUGGAUAACCUACCUAUAAGACUGGGAUAACUUCGGGAAACCGGAGCUAAUACCGGAUAAUAUAUUGAACCGCAUGGUUCAAUAGUGAAAGACGGUUUUGCUGUCACUUAUAGAUGGAUCCGCGCCGCAUUAGCUAGUUGGUAAGGUAACGGCUUACCAAGGCAACGAUGCGUAGCCGACCUGAGAGGGUGAUCGGCCACACUGGAACUGAGACACGGUCCAGACUCCUACGGGAGGCAGCAGUAGGGAAUCUUCCGCAAUGGGCGAAAGCUUGACGGAGCAACGCCGCGUGAGUGAUGAAGGUCUUCGGAUCGUAAAACUCUGUUAUUAGGGAAGAACAAAUGUGUAAGUAACUAUGCACGUCUUGACGGUACCCAAUCAGAAAGCCACGGCUAACUACGUG